rnacentral:lncRNA from 1 species
GGGGCAGCAAGGGCGCGCUGGAGGCGGCGGCCAAGACUCCCGCCGCCGCCGCCGCCAACAGGGCGAGGGCUGCCGGCAACUCUCCCGCCGGGCCCCCGCACCCCCAGAAGCCGAGGUCCGAGCAGCCGCCGCUGCUUUGGGUGGGGGGCUGACAGGGCUGCGCGCGUCGCGCUCUUGGCUGGGGCUGCGCGGGCCCGGGGCGCUGCGGGCGGCUCAGCGGCAGCUGCCGCGCUCUGCGCCUCCUCUGGGCGCACUGCCUGGGAGCACGAGACUGGUUUGUCUGAUGCUGCUGCCGGAGCUGAGGUCUUGCCUGGAGAUCCGAACGAGACACCACGUCAACCGGCGCGGGGAGUCCCGUGAAGACAUGAGGGCGCCAGGAGCGCAGGCUGGUCUUCUAGAGCCCGGGCUGGGGGUCCGGGGUCCGGGGUGGGGGAGGGGAGGCGCGGGGCCCCGGGAGGGAGGGGUCGGGAGGCGUCGGCUGGGCCUGGCGGUGGGGGAGGAGAGGAGAGCAGCGAGGAGGCCCUGGAGUUCCCGAGGCGGGGGGCCGGGGUGCGAGUGGGCGACGCGAGGCGCCCCUCCCUGGGCUGCAGGGAGAGCGCUGAGAGCGCGGAGACGCCGCGGGGCUAGCGCCUUCUCCUCUCCGGGUGGAUCAAAAAUCGAGAGGAAUGUGCGGCGCUCUGCGCGGGCCAGCCGAAAGGGGCAAUCCGAACUUGACCGCGGCGCCCGCGCCGGGCUUUGCCCCCGCGCGCCGCACUGGGAGGGUGGCGCUCUGCCGGUGCAGGGCAGCGCCGGGCUUUCCUCGCGCCUGUCGAAGGCCGGCCUUCCCGCUCGGGUGUCUCGCCCUCUCGCUUCUCCGCAGGGCAGGAGGCAGUGGCGAGAAAAGGAGCUGCCGGCCGGAGUUCUAGCACCGAGAAGGAGAGGUGCGGAGCGGCCGGGUGAGGGAAGCCGAGUAUUUGCCAGGGGACGCUGCGAGUGGGGAUGAAUUUAUAGGGCUCUCACUCCGUGACGUGCCCUCCAGUGGCUUUUCUGAUUCGCUUUCUGACCUAAACACACAUUAGUUUAGUCCCCAUGCUAAGGCCAACACGGUCUCCAAAUAUCUGCUGGCUGAAGUCAGAGGCUUUGCAUAUCAUGUAUUACAUGGCAGGCAAUGAAGAAGGCUUCUGAGGCUGGCCGGCUCCUCAGUCCUAGGCUCCAUUUUCAUGCUGUUGUAAUCUAAUACCAGACAUGGGGCAGGCACAUACAUUCAAAAUCCCAAUUCCAGAGGCGUAAGAUCACUUUAUCAGGAACGGGUUAGGGGAGGUUGAGCUAAACCUGCUUUUAUCCAGAUUUUCGAAAAUGCAGAUGGGAAACUUCAGCAAGCGCCCACUUGGAUGCUGAGUUUCCAGCGAUCAGGGGCCCGGCCCCCAUUCCAGAGCUCUGUGGAUGGGAGAGGUGAGACCUUCUGGGCAUUCCUUUUGUUGGUUAGUUCACCACCAGAAGCUGCCUGAGCCUUCUUUUGUAGAGGACAGGAGGAGGGCAAGUCCUUACACACCCUGUGCAUGGCUAUAACCAUAAAUACAUUUCAUUCACAUGGGGCAUGGAAUUGGCUGUACCUCUAAAAUAAUGUACUAAAUAGGGCAUGUCUUUGCUAAGCAGAAACCUGUUUUCCGGAAGCCAUUGGACCUGAAUUCAGUGGGACCUCUUUUAUUUUAUUAGCUGGGGCCAGGGAAAGUGUAAACAGGCUCAGUUUACGUCCAUGUACCUCUUAUUUUAUGACUCAUCCGGUUGUUGGGGAGUAUGUGUUCUUCAAGUAGCUGAUACAGACAAUAGGCAGGGGAAAUGCGUGUGGCAGUGUGGGGGGAAGAUCAUGUAUUAUUAAACUUCUUAAAAGUCAAAGAUCAGCUACUUUGCAGGUUUGUCAGUGAAGCGAGUGUGGGAGGAAAAUUGUUCUUACUAACGUUGCUGUGAUUUAAGAUUAAGCGAAGUGAAAAUCGAGUCAUCAAAACAUACCUUAGCUGAAAUUAGGAUGCUCUCUGGAGUUCUGCAGAAAAUGACAUUUCCCUCUUUGAUAGAUUUAUGGUAGAAAUGUAGUUAGAUUCAGAAAUUAGAGGGCAGAAUAAGCUUAAUAUAUUUAUUGCCGUUUAGCAUUGUUUUUGGAAUUUGAAGACGACCCUCAUCAAUGUUCUUACUCUGAAUGAUUUCUUUAUUUUUAGAGGGCUUUUUGCUGGGGAUGAUCAGCCCGUCCAAGCACCUGCAAAUAUCUAGCACUUGCUGUGUGCCAGGCAAAGUGCUAGGCCCUGGGCAUUGUGCUGAUUGGGCUUUUUUUUUGGGCGGGGGGCGGGGGUUGCAAGGAACAGAUACCACUGAGGUUUACCCUCAGUAAUGGGAAUUUACUGUGGAAGGAAGGCUGACCGGAAUCUCCACCAUUCCGCCACGUGUCUCCGAAAAGCCUUCCGGAAAGGCCACCCAGCCAGGCCUCAUGAAAACUGGAUUGAAGUUCAGGAACUGGAAGGUCAUUCAGGAUACAGCUCUGUGACUGGGUUAUCUCGCUGCCCCCUCAGCAGCAGGCAUCUGCCGAUCCCCACUAACGGCUUAGCCGCCAAGCAUACAGAUGAAUUCAGCAAAAGUUCCUUCUGAAGUGACUGCCUUGAAUAGAGUUAAGAUGGGAAGCAAACAUUUGGUGUCUUGGGAACAAGGGGAUGGCCUGAUGUCACAGUCUCACGCCCCCAUAAGCUGAAAGUAGGGAGCCCCACAGCUCCGAGGCUCCAGCUUCUCUGUUCUCAAGGAAACGGAAUAGUUUGAUUUGAAGCUGUUCCUCAGCGAAGUCCAGAAGGGAAGAAUUUGCAGCACCGACUCUGCUCUCAAUAGGCAGAACAUCCUCUGAUAAAGCAACAACAGCAACAUACUGCUAAGGAUUCUCACAUUGUCCCCAGAUCUCAGCUUUUUAUCUAGGAAGCCCUGCCUGAGAAUCAGAGAGAACAAACAUUGUUCAAGCCUCCCAUCUCCUCUUUGAGAAAAAAGGUUCGAAGCCCUGCUAAUUUCCUAUUUCAUCGCUAUCGUCCUCUUCACUGGGAUUUCUUCUAUGCCAUUGCCAGGAGAACAUGCCUGGGCUAGCCUGCUGGAGGAUGAGAGGCGUGUGGAACAGAGCAGUAUUGCUCCAUUUGUCACAGGCAAGGUCAGUUUAGAUGAGCUGAGAGCCAACUGAUUUCCCCUCCACUCUUCAUCCCCAGACAUGUAAAUGAGCCUGUAAAGAUCAACAGCGCUGCCUCUUCAACCAGUCUGGAAUAAGCAAGGAAGGCUUAUUGUAUACCCGUGGGAUUUUGUGGUUGUUAUGCAGCAACAUUAUGGCAGUAGAUCACUCACACAGCUUGUAAACUGAUUCCAAAAGAGGAACUCUCAAUGCUAAACAAUCACAACAUUUCUGGACUAAGUGACUGGUGUCUCCAGGUGACUACCAGGAGGCUGUAACAUAUGUUUGGAGAAUAAAUGUCCCAAUGUUUAUUGGGCAUCCUUUCUCUGUUCUACUGCACUUCAUACUUAUUGUAUGAAAUUGCUUGUAUGCAUAGCCAUGGCUACAUUAGACCAAAUGUUCUGUAAGGGAAGGAACAACAUUUUAAAUGUUCACCUCCUUAGUAUCUGGCAUAUAACUACUUGUUAAAUGAAUGAAAAAAUGAAGACUCUUAUUAGAAGUCACACCUUGCAUUGUGUGCUUUUAGUAACUUUGGUCUACUCAUGAUAUGCGUUGGGUGUGUAAUAUGUAAUCUUAAAAACUUAAUUAAUGCAAUUACUUGACAAGAUUAUAUAUGCACAUUACACCUUUCAAAAGGUGCAAAGGUAUUUUCAGUGAUAAGUGAUUGUUUCUCUCAUGCCAUCUUCAAGCCAUCCACUUCUCUGGUAACACAAUUACCAGUUUCUUAUCAAUUCUCCCAGAGAAUGUGUAAUCAUUAAAAUGAAGCUAUUGUCUAGGAAAGAAAUAACAUUUUCAGCCAUUACUUUUUUAUAAGUUGGCACAUUUUACUAUUCGUUUUCUUUUGGAGGCUGGACCAAUUGGAUGUAGCCCUUAUGUUCUUUGCUAAAAUGUUUUGAAAGCUGUUUCCCCAAGUUUGUUCCUUUAACAUUUUUUUUAACUUUUAAUUGACAAAUGAUAAUUGUAUGUAUCUGUGGGGUAUAACAUGAUGUUUUGAUACAUGUAUACAUUGUAGAAUGAUCAAAUUAGGCUAAAUAACAUGCCCAUCACCUCAGAUACUUAACAUUUCUUUGUGAUGACAGCAUUUAAAAUAGUUCUUUUAGCUAUUUUGAAAUCUACAAUACAUCAUUAUUAUUAAUGGUAGUCACCAUGCUGUGUAAUAGAUCACCAACUCCUUAGCUCCAGCCAAAACUUUGAAUGCUUUGACCAACGUCUCCCCUUUCCCUCCUUUUUCCUCCCUCCCGCCGCCACUCCUCCUCCCCUGGCCUCUGGUAACCACCAUUCUAGAAAUUCAACUUCUAUGAGUUUGACUUUUUUAGAUUCCAUUUUUGAUUCAGCAACUUUCCUCAGGUUGUUUAAGGUUUAAAUGCCGCUGGAAUUCAUGCAGCUGUUUGUUUCUUUGCCUGUGUACUUCUAUCACAUGAGCUGUUAGGCCAGCCCUGGGAGCCUGGUAAUUACCACAGAGCGAGGCGGCAGAGGGAGCAGAUAAACUUGAAACAUUGGGCUCUCCAGGUGACAAGGAUCAGGAGUUCUGAACCCCUAGAAAGAACCUCUAUCAUGGAGAACCCAGGCUCUCUAUUCGAUGACUAUAGUGGGAUGAGGACAUUGAGGAUCAGAGAUGUUGAAAAACUUGCCCAAGGAUGCACAAGUGGAAUGGUGACUGUUGUCUCUUGGGCACAGGUAGCUGCCAACAGGUGAGCCUCUCAGCGGAUCCCUGAUAGAGGUAGGAUGGCAAAUAGCUUCUUUAAUAUGACAGCCUCAGUGUAGUGGCUGGCAAGGAGCUGCGAUUGGGAGGAACUGGAAGUGACACCCAAGCUCAUUGAGCAAGCAUGCUGUGAGUGCCAUGAUAAAGUGAAGAGCUCAGGAGAAAGAUUGGAUCAAUUAUAGAAAAUAAUGAAGGUACAUUUUCUUUGCAUAACUAAAUGUAGGGUAAGUACAUUUUGAAUUUGCUAAAAUUGUCUUUGCUCUGCCUCUGCACACGUGUGCACACGUGCACACACACAAAUGGCACUUCUGGGAGUUUUUCCUUGCUACCACCUCCUCUCAAUAAUCAAUGCUCACGAAAGCAUUUGUGAGAAAUGUGGAGUUUACUGUGGAGAUUCAAAGGGAAGAUGAUGGAGGUUUCACUGUAACCCCCACAACAGAUUCAUAUUCCACUUUGAUACUGUGUUCAUCAUUUCCAAUAUAUACCUUUUUCCUAGUUGAGUAUUUGAAAUCUUGGAAACCAGACUCUGUCUUGCUGUGUUGGUGUGUCAUAGUAUAAUUGGCAGCAUGUUUCCUUUGGUAGCAAUACAUAAGACAAUGGUGUGUCUUAUGUUGAUGUCUUCUUAUAUUUGAUAAAAUCUUUUAAGUCUACUGCUUUGCAGUCCUUCCUCAACUGCAAGCAGAGGCUUCCCCACUGAGGCCAUUGAGUAAAGUGGUUCAAAGUACAGUCUGGAGUCAGACCAUCACUUACUAUCUCCACCAUUCACAAGCCAGGUAACCUUGGGCAAGUUACUGAAGGGUUCAGGGGCUUUGUUUCCCUACCUGUGCAAUGGGGAUAAUAUUAUUAACUACUUCAUCGGAUUGUAGUAAGAAUUAAAUGAGUUGAUAUAUAUAGAGAAAUUGGAACAGUGUCAGGUGGUGGUGACUUCUAGAAAAGUAGUUGUUCUUAUACGUAUUACCUCUUUAGUCCCCUCCCACAUAGGCCCUGCCUCCUGUUACCUAUUGCUUUUUCUUUCCUCCCUUAUUUUAUAAAUAAUACUUCAGUGACCGCUGUUUGCUAUUUGAACACAACCUUGAGAUCUCUCCUCUCCUUCCCAAAUGGCUUACCUAAGUAUUUACUCCAAACAAAUAUGUUGUCUUUUAGAGAUACUCUGAUAAGUAAAGAUUGCUGUAUGUAGUAACAUAUUUUUAUCAUUAUUUCUGAUGCAUCUAUGGUAGAUGCAAGAGAUAGUAAGAUAUGAGCUUGACUGGAGCUGAGCUAGCUUGUUGGGGAGCAUUAGGAAAUAGGAUGGAAAAAAGAUAGGUUGGAGACAGAUGGCACUUGAAGAAUCUCCCCUUUGAAAUCUUUGGUAAAGUCUACAAUAUGAUACCUCUCCAUACAUCUCUAAGGAGGCUUUGUAUUUUGAUGACAGCCUUGAAUGCUAGGGACACCCAGCCACACGGGCUAACUCAUACAGGGCAGAGAGGACUUUCACCCUCUUUAAUUCACCGUGUAUGAGUGGCAAUGUUUCUUCCCAAAUAUAUGGCUGGCCCUAGGAGACAAGUCAGGGCAUGUGAGCUGUGGAUGUGAACUGAGAGAACAGUUGGGGCUUAGGUGAAAAGUGGAGAUUCAGGAACUCUUCAGAUAUAGUGGCCUUAGGGAAAGAUAGAUGUAUUAGGCCAUUCUUACAUUGCUAUAAAGAAAUACCUGAGACUGGGUAAUUUAUAAAGAAAAGAGGUUAUAUUGGCUCAUAGUUCUGCAGGCUAUACAGGAGGCAUAGUGCUGGCAUCUGCUCAGCUUCUGGUGAAACCUCAGGUAGCUUUUAAUCGUGGCAGAACGGGAAGCGGGAACAGGCAUGCCACAAGUUGAAAGCAGGAGCAAGCGAGAGAGAUUGGGGAUGGUGGUGGGGGGUGUUACAGACUUUUAAAUGAGCAGGUCUCAUAACAACUCACUCACUAUUGUGAAGAUGGCACCAAGCCAUGAGGGAUCUGCCCCCAUGAUCCAAACACCUCCCACCAGGCCCCUCCUCCAGCAUUAGGGAUUACGAUUCAACAUGAGAUCUGGGUGGGGACAAAUAUCCAAACUAUAUUACUAGGCAGUAACAAAGAGACACCCGGCCCUUCUGGGUUCAAGGUGUGCCACAGGCCUGCAUGUCCUCCUAAGCUUUUCUUAGGUGGUGCCAGAGUUUGAAUGGCUGCAGUCCUGGCAUAUUCCUCAGUGAGGCUGGAAAAAAUAAUCCACUCCUGCAAAUGGAAAAUUUCUUCUGUGUAGGGUGAGCACUUCCAGCUCCAGAAAUGAAACAUGCUAAAGGCAGCGUGUGACUUGGCAUGGGGUGACCAGUAACCCAACUGAUCGGUCCUCUAACCUGUUAGUUCAUUUUGCUGGUGAUCUUGUCCAUAAGGGCAAACAACUUUCUAGCUGGUCACCUUUGGAACAAAGUAAGAGUUUUUGAAAGAGGAUUUAAAAAAAUUCUUUUUUGGUUUGUUUUGGGUUUAAUGAGUCAAUGCUUUAUUUUACUAUGAGUGUUUAUAACCAGACCUAAAUGUAUGUAGGAUCUUGAACCUCCCCCACAACUAUUUCCUAUUUGUUCCCAGAAAAAUUCCAAUGCCAGAUUUUGCCAUAGCAACCAGAGGCAAAUAUCAAGACAGCAAUAAAGAGCAAGCUGGAAAAGGGUUUCCCUACAAUGUGGCUUGAGUUUCUGUAGGGCAUUCCAUCCUCCGUGUGGAGCUCUGGAAGGCAAGAGGGGGCCCUGCGGUUCCUCGUGGGGGGGUCUGGUAGAGUCCAGAUUUGCCAGCAUCCAGGACCCACUAGGAAAUGUGUCUGUCAGGCAGCUGGGCUGGAGCGGAAGGAUCAGCUUGCCUGCUCCUCGGGCUUGGCACCUGUUGUGUGUUGAUCUUUAUUUUUGUACGUCAAUUUUUCAAAAUUAAAGGUAUUGAAUUAUUAUUUUUCCAUUAUGCUUUUCCUCUGAGCAGUUUAGUAAACAAGCCUGUUCUGUAUUUCCUAAUUGUCCCCUCAAGUGCUCUUUGGAAGAAGGCAGUGCAUAUUUAAAAGUAAGCAAAUGAAACCAAAGAACAGGAGAUUCUUCCAAUAUCUGCCCACGAUGUCCCUCAUUCUGUGUCCUUCCUUUUUGUCAUGGUUGUUAGGUAAUGUUAGGAAGUCCCACUUCUUUCCCAUAGGUAAAGUCAUCUCACUACAGUAUAGCCUUCUUGCUGAAAGAACUUUGGGCUUCCGAGUUACUUCAGGUGCUGGUUUGGAUUAGCGGUGUGUUGAUAAAUGUUUAACAACUCGCUCGCAGACAUAAAAUUGCCUUGAUUUGUAGAGCUGAUUUGCUGAUUUCUGUGGUGUAAAUCCUCCCACCAUGGCAGAUUUCAUCUUACCAGAGUGACCUCAUGAACAUGGAACUGGAAAGAGAUGCACACAUUUAACUCUCAUGCACUGGUAAGAGCUGGCUGCCCCACACUGCUGGUUCUACCGAUCUAGGCCUGGGUUUCUCAACCUCAGCACUAUUGACAUUUUGGGCAGAAUGGCUGUUGGUUAUUGGUGGCUGUCCUGUGCAUUGUAGGAUGUUUAGCAGCACCUGUGGUUUCUACUCACUAGAUGCCAGGAGCAACCCUUCCCCACUAAGUUGCAACAACCAAAAAUGUCUCCAGAUUUUGCCAGAUGUCUCCUGAGGGGCAAAAUCUCCCUUAGUUCUGGGCUAUUCUGCACUGAUAGUGCUUAGAAGGUCCAUUCAGCAGGCAGUAGGCCUGCACUGUUAGCUUUUCCAUGAACCACUCUGAAUAUGCACCCAAAGAAGUUCUCUCUUGGCAUUUUGGAUGUGGUGCAUUAGUCUGUUCUCAUGCUGCUAAUAAAGGCAUACCCGAGACUGGGUAAUUUAUAAAGGAAAGAGGUUUAAUGGACUCACAGUUCCAGAUGGCUGGGGAGGUCUCAUGAUCAUGGCAGAAUAUGAAGGAAGAGCAAAGAGAUGUUUUACAUGGCAGCAGGCAACAGAGCCUGUGCAGGAGAACUCCCCUUUAUAAAAUCAUCAGAUCUCAUGAGACUUAUUCACUAUCAUGAGAGCAACAUGGGAAAGUCCUGCCCCCAUGAUUCAGUCACCUCCCACCGGGUCCCUCCCACGACAUGUAGGAAUUAUGGGAGCUACAAUUCAAGAUGAGAUUUGGGUGGGGAUACAGCCAAACCAUAACAUGUGGUAUUGCAAAACACUGAAAGUGUGCUUCCUUGGGUAGUCUUGAGAAGAGUCAUGCUGUAAGGACUUAAGGCACCAAAAAAUUAAGACACAGCAGGGCCAGUAGGAGAGCAUCAGGGUAAUUCCACUAUAGGAUAUAUCCUAUAUCCAUUAUAGGAUAGUUUUGACAGACUGCAGAGGUCCCUUAGGCAAACCUUUCCUUUGUAUGGGUGAGAAAUUAGACUCAGGGACAAGGUGUGACUUGUCCAAGGGCAAGGUGUGGAUGUGCUUGGACAGUCACAGGGGUGUUGUGGUGAAUGCUGUGAGACGCCUGUGUGACAUACUGGGAAUUAGAACUGACUCCAACUUGUAGCUAAAUGUGUUUUGCGGGCUUUUCAAUGUUGGGUUUGGAUGGAUAUAUUCUGACAUCUCCCUGUCCCCUACCUCUCUGUCCCUUUGGAAAUAUCUGCUUAUGAAAACCAUAUUAUAAUGAGGGAUUUCUGUUUCAGAUAGAAUUAUUCCCUUCAGCUUCAGGAGUGAGUUGAUUAUUCACAUGUUCUUUUUAGGGGGUUUAAGCUGCUAGUCCUUAAAGAAUAGAUGCUGAAGGUUGUCAUUGAUUCCUCUUUCCUUCCUCCCACGUCUGCUCUGGGCCUUCUCAUUGAUGUAGUAUCUUAGGUUACUUCCAAAAUAAUUUGAGAAAUGGAUUUAUAGAAGAAGCUAGCUUUCCAGUAGAAAAGUUUAGAUGACAAGAUUAAUGUGAUAAGAACUAAGAAAGCCCUUCCUAGUUUUCAUUGAAAAUGUGUUUUUAAUGCCCAGAGGUGCCCAGUCAAAAAGGAAAUAUUACAGAAGGAUUAUUUUCAUCAGCAGAGUUCUUGGGCAUUGCAAGUUCCAGUGUAAUUAGGGAAAUCACAUGCGAGUACAUCAAUACACUUCAGAUGCCAAUACAUUGGGCUUAAUGAGGACAACAAGCCUGCUUUUAUUAGGGGAUUGAAUAAAAGUGAAAGGAGUUCUUGAAAAGAAUUGGUAAUUUUGGAUGGGAUAAUUCAUCACUUCACUCCAGAUCAGUUUUUCACAGUAAGAAGUGCUGGCUCUUCAGAAAAUUUGGCAUAACCAAAGUUUAUUGUCACUAUCUCCUCCUUCUCACAUUGUCCUUUGUCGCACCCCCAGCAGGUCCACAGUGAUCCUGCGGGCCACCCCCAUGGACCCUGCCCGUUUUCUUCCAUCGGGGGCUAUCUUACGUCAGUCUUUCAAGGUCUCCUCAGUAAUGCAGGCCAGUUGGAUUUUUGCUUUCUUUUCCCAGAGGACAAUUCAGCCUCAGCGUCUUAGUCUAAAAGGAUUCAUGCAAGCGUGUCAGAUGUUUUAUUAGGCUAAGGGGGAGGUAUUUUGGGUUGUGGGGAGCACUUACUGCAACCCUGUAUGAAAUUCCCUACUCAGUGAUGUUCAGGCUGCACGGGCCAACAUGGAAAGGGCUUAAGGGAGAUGACAAAAACAAAAUCUCUUCUUCCACAAAGAUUUUCAGUUGAUCAAUUUUGUUACUUUUUUGUGAUGAAACUAUCUGCACUGCAGCUAAUGAUUUUUUUCUGAAGGUGGAAAAGGUAGGAGCAACAGCUUUCAGUUCUAAGGAUACAUUCUGUUGACCUUCAUAAGCCCUAGGAACUAGAGGGGCAAGAUUGAGGAGGAAAUAGAGAAAAUAAUUUGCUCUAUAGUAUUUUCCCCCUGAGCUGCCAUCUGGGGCUUUCAGAGCUUAGCACUGCACUCUUGCAAUGUUGCACACACCACAGGAGCAAUAUCAAGAGAUGUCAAACAUGAGUGGUAUUGGUCACUGGAAACAGCAGAUUCCAAAUAGCUGUCUCACCAGACUAUUCUUUCAGAAGAUUCAUUUGUGCCAACUACUUCUUUGUCAUGGAUCCUUCCUGGUUCUGCAACACAGAUGUGGAAAGUGAAGAGAACACGUCAUGGAAUUCCAUUUCUAAGAGUGGAAAAUAUACAAUUUACCAUGGGAUGUUUAAGAUAUUAAUAUAUUGUUCACCAUGUGUAUCCAGAGCUUUAGUAGAAGUAGGUUAAAAGAGCCGUGCAUGUAUACACGGUGCUCCUCAUUGUCAAACGCUGAAGCCUGUUACAGGCUGGGUUUGGGGGCUGGGGGUACUUACGGGACAAAGUCUGACUCUCGGUCUGUAGGCUGAGUGCCUUCUUAGUGUGUUGGGACUCAGCAUGUAUUCACCCCAUCUGUACUCACAAGCCUAAUUCAUUAAUCAGGAUGACUUACUGGGCUGUGAGCCCUUUGAGGACAGGACCUUGUACCUUUAUCUUGUGCCUCUCAUGCCUAGCAUAGCACCAGGCAUGUAACACGUUCUUUUUAAAAAAGUGUUUUACAGCUUUAUCAAGGCAUACAUGAUGUCAGAUCAACUGCAUGUGUUUAAAGUUUUACACUUGAUGAGUUUUGAUAUAUGUCUAUACCCGUGAAACCAUCACUGCAAUCAAGAUAAUAAACGCAUUCAUCCACCCUAAAGUUUCUCGUGUCCCUUUGCAAGCCACCCCCCUUCCUCCCAUUGUUCCCAGACAACCACUAUUCUGCUUUCUGUCACUGCAGAUGAGUUUGUGUUUUCUGGAAUUUUAUAUAAGUGGAAUCAUACAACAUGUACUCUGUUUUUCUGGCUGUUUUCACUCAGCAUAAUUUUCUCAAGAUUCAUUGAAGUUUUAUAUAUUAAUAGUUUGCUACAUUUCAUUGCUGAAUAGUAUUCCAUUGUAUAAAUCAUAAUAGGCACCUAACAAGUGUUUGUGGCUUUACACUGACUUGAAAAUUAAUUUUUAAGAAUAUAAUUGGGCAAAAAGUGGACAAUGGGAUACCACUCUAUUCUUGGUGAGUGGGUUCACUCAGGAAGUGGAAAUAAGAAUCAGGAGAUAAUUUGGCAUGGUAGAGACUUUUGUUGUCAUCCAAUAUCUAUUUUUCCUUCUUUCUUAGUACUGGAAUACCUGAGUUUUGGCUGGGCACAGAACUGUCUGGAAUACAGACUGCAAUUCCCAGCCUUCUGUGCAGUUCUGUGUGGCCAUGUGACUAAGUUGUGGUCAAUAUGAGUCACGGAAGAAUAGAAGAACAACUCAGAGGAGGAAGAAGUCAGACAUAGCCAGACACGGCUGCUAGCAGUUCCACCAAUGAAAGAGGAGACCAGGAUGUUUAAAACAGGCAAACACAAGGUGCGAAAAACCAGAAGCGAAAACUUCUGAGGUCAUUUAAGCAAGGACUAUCGUUAUCCCCGGAAGCAGAGAGAAGUUCCCUUUGCCCAACAUCACACUGCAAGCACGUGUUGGAGCUGAGAUUCAAACCCAGGCAUCCAGGGUCCAGGGCCCAUGCUUUUAAUAUAUUCCAUAUCUUAGGAGAAUUUCCCCUAUUUAAACAAUAAAAGUGCAAAAAUCUUGUGGCUAGCCAAAAUUUUCAGUUGUUUGGAAAACUUAUUUAUCCAAUAAGUGGAAAACUCACUUGUCCUCCAACAAUUCUGGAUAAAUGAAAGAACGAAUUGAACUGAGACUGGAAUCCGGGUCUCCCAGUACUUUGUAGUUCCUAUCCAUAUGGCUUGUCAGGAAGGCCACAGGGAGGUUAACUAACUCUGCGUAACCAGAAACAAUCCCACAUCAGACUGUUGGCAGUGGGAGUGGAACACUCAGAGCUGAACCGCAUGCAAGAUGGUUGCAUUUUCAUUUGCAAUGUCGUCAUCUUCCUCAUGGCUAAAGAGGUAUUUUGGAGUUGACAUGAAGGCUACUGUAAUUUUUAGAGGCAUUUUCUUUCUGGCCUGUAUUUACAUAUUGUGGUAGAAGAGUCAGAAGACUUCAAGCUUCAAAAGUGAAUCUUGUUGCGAGUUACAAAAGCACCACCCGGUGGGGUGCAGCUCUCAGCAUGUGUCACCACAGGCACUGUGAUUUCCCUGUCUUCAUCCAACUUUGGUUGCUGUUCUUCAUGCUCAGGAAUUCUGCAACUGCUGUAGCUUUUGCUGUUGUUAUGUCUGUAGGUAUGGACUCAUUUCUACCAUUCUGGAAUGAAACAUUAUUUCAAGGGAAGCUUCUCAUUGUAAAAGGUCCACACAUUCAGAAGGAAACUGGGAGUACAUUUUCUCAUAGGCCUGGAGCAUUAACUGACUAUGCAUCUUUCCCCUCAGUGUUGUCAUCAUGUUGUAAGGGGAUGAGUCAUGGACAACAUUUUCACACACAUACGUGAGGUCCAUUGACCAGUCUUUAGGACAACUAGAAAUCUUUUCUUUCUUUGUUUUAAAAAGGAAGACAAGUCAAGAUACAGCAAAUAAAAAUGCUCAGCACAUUUGCUGAAAUCUUAGCAAAAUCAAAUUACUAGUAAUUUGUUAAUCACACUAUACCUGUUUUGAGCCAAUCCUACUUAACCCACCCUCCAUCUUCCUCAUGCUUGCCUCCCUGGUGAACUCCUAUUUAUGUUACAAAGCUCAGUGUUUAUGUUACUACUUUUGUGCUAUUUCUGAACGUUAAAUGUACCUCUAUUAUAGAACAUAUCUCAUGGAAUAGUUAUUAUUGCAUAUCCACUGCCCUUGUUAGGCUGUGAGUGAGCUUUCUUUCUUUCUUUUUCUUUCCUUCCCUCCUUCCUUCCCUACUUCCUCCCUCCCUCCCUCUCUCCCUCCCUCCCUCUCUCCCUCCCUCCCUUCCUUCCUUUGCUCCUUCUCUCUUUCUCUCUUUUUCAUUUCUUUUCUUUUUUUUUAAAUUUGAGACAGGGUGUCACAAAUAUGAAUGGGACCUGUGAAUAUGAUGGCUGUCACUCUCUGAUUAGAUUACAUUAUAUGGCUAAGGUGAAGGAAUUCUGCAGAUGUAAUUAAGGUCCCAGAUGAGUUGAUAUUGAGUUACUCACAAAGGAGAUUAUACUGGAUGGCCCUACCUUAAUCAGGGAAAAGCCCUUAAAAGAGGACUGGGCCUUUCCUGAAGGAGGACAGUCCACUGCUGGCUUUGAAGCAGUAAGCAGCUGUGUUUUAAGGGGGCCUAUGGAGGGGCCCAUGUGGCAAGGUCCUGAGGGUGGCCUCUAGGAGUUGGCAGCAGUUCCCAGCCACUGGCUAGCAAGAAAACAGGUGGUUCAGCCACAUAGCCACAAGGAAAUGAAUUCUACCAACAAUCCAAAUGAGCUUGGAAGUGGAUAUUUUCCAUGGUCAAGCCUCCAGACGAACACCUUAACUGUAACAUAUGAACAGCUGAGCAGAGGACCUGCUUCAGCCAUGCCUGGACUCCUGACUUGUGGAAACUGAGAUAACAAAUGUAUAUUAUUUUAAGCUGGUAAGGUUGUGGUAAUUUGUUAUGCAACAAUGCCGAAUACAGUAGGCAUCUUAAAUGUUUGUUGAACUUAAUUUAAUCAGGGAAAUAUAAUAUUUAAAAGGAAUCUUUUCUAAAGUUUUAGCCAAUUUAAUGAAUGUAGAUAUCUUAAAGAAUUGCCAUCUUCCUUUGGAUCUUCUAGCCAUGCAAUCGACUUCACAAACUUCCAAGUUUUCAUAAAUACCAGCUUCUGAUUGUCUGGAAACAGGAAGUGAGAUUCUCUCCAGCCAUCAUUUGGCAUUCUUGGGAGAUAGAAUGGAUAAAAAUUGAUGUUGAAAUGAGACCACCAUCAUUUUUCAGUCUGCUCACCACGUACAGAGCUCAGGAUGAUUAGAAAAUGUAAAACACAUGUGAGUGGCUCAAACCCCUUUAGUUAAAUCACAUUUACAUAGAUCAGUUUUCCCAAGGGAUAUAAGUUAGCUGAACUUAAGCAAUUAAAAAAAAUAAAACUAAACUAAAACCUUUUGCUAAAGCCAAAAAACAUGGAUGAGUUAAACUGUAUCAGAUGGAAUGGUUUGUUUUGAAAAGUGUUUGGUUUGUUGUCUAUAUACGUGCGUGCUUUUUUAAAAGGCAGAUAGAAAAGCAGAACUUACAAGACCUUUAGCUGCUGAGGUGGAAAGCCAGUAUUACUUCUACCACAGCAGUUGAUAUCAUCGGUCUCACCAGCAGGUCACGGAUUUGUUGCUUGCUCCCUGUGACAAUCUUGAACCAUUGUAGGGACCUUGGCAUAUAGAGGGACGGUGAACAGGGCUGAAAACAAAAUUGAACUCAAUCUUGAGCUUGGUAUUCCACCGAGAGCAGGUUUUCUGGGCUUUGAAAUACCGCCUCAGAGAGACCUUCCUUGAUAUUCUGCCAUGUUGAGAACAAGAACAAACUUUUUGGCCCUGGAACCUCUUCCCUCCCAGUGCCAACAUGUUCAAUUUCAUUUGCCCUUGGCUAAAUGUAGCUUCCUGUUUCUAAGAAAAGAAGCAGAAAGGGGCUUUUGAAGGCCUCACAGACAGUCUCAGAAGGCUUCAUGGGCAGCAGACAACUCUUAGCAAACAACAAUUUGAUGAGUUAAGUGUAAACGGCUCAGAGACAUAUGGAUUACAUUUUUUGGGAAAUACACAUGGGCUUACAAUGUAAAACUGGGUAGUGUGGGGUGGGGUGGAGAAGGGAAUGCUUGGAAAAGUGUGGUUUGGGUCUUGCUAAUUGCAAAAUAUUUGAAACAAAUAAUUUGAGAUGUUUUGCUCAACGUACAGCGCGGUUGGAUUUGCCCUUUCCAUCUAUUUACGUGUCAUUUUCAGAUUCGGCUCACAUACCAAUACUGGUUUGGGUCUUGAGUUGAUUUUUAAAAAUGCAGUUAUUUUGAAAGGUCAUGCCAUGUGAUUUCUGUGUAGCCUCUGAGCAUAAAGGGUGGGGUGGUAUAGGGGAAGAACUGGGCAUUUAGAAACCUCUCUGCCUGUAGGUCAAACUGCUGCUCAGCUCUUCUGGUAUAUUCUACUUAUGGAGGUUCCAAAUCCAGGCUGUGUUAGUAAGAUGCAGCAGCCUCAGUCUCCCCACCUGUAAAAUGGGGACAGUAAUACUUAUCCCAGAACCCAUGGCGAUUGGGAUGCUGUGUGGUGUGGAGUUAAAGUGUGGACCCUGGAGGCAUAUACCUGUGCAUAUCCCAGCUCUGCUGCUGAUGUGAGCUUGGGCAAGUUCUUCAGCUUCCCUGGGCUUUUGUUUCUUCAUCUGUGUAAUGAGGAAUAUCUUAGCAUCCACCACAUAGGGUUACCUUGAGAAUUAAAAGAUUUAACCCAGUCCCCGGCACACAAUAAGUGUUCAGCAAAUGCUAACAGUGGCUCUUGUUGUUUAUAAUUUAUCUUGUUCUAUUAAGUAUAUGAAUACAGUAGAUAAUAAGGCAAAUUCACCUCCAGGCUGGGGAGAGGAAUAGCCCCUUACCAAACAGUGAGGGUCUCCUUCAGCUUACCUUCUUUUUCUUAUUGUUUCAACCUAUGGAUUAAUUACCUAGUUUUGUGACCCCAAAAUAAAAGGGUAGAUUCCUUGAUCUAAAAUUAGACUCAUCUUUUCCCUAUCCUAGGAAGGAUCCGUUUCUCUCUUCUAUUUUACCACUGUCUAGCACCUGGAGACACUUGGUUUAAGAGCCCAGCUAGUUUAUACUAGAGUGUGAGGGAAUUCUGAGGGCUCAGGUGGAAGGAAAGCAUGAUUCCAGAGUGUUGUUGGGUUAAUGCAUUGCUUCUCAACCCUUCCUGCACAUUAGAAUGAAUUGAGAAGCAUUUCAAAAAUAAUAGAAAUGUUAGUGUGGGGCUUCGGUAUUAGUACAUUUUUUAACUCCCCAGCUGCUUCUAUUGCGCAGCCAGGACUGAGAACCACCCUGGCUAAGGCAUUCAGUGGCAUUGUAGGUGCUUCCCUGGGUCGUUUCUGACUCGCCCCUUUUAACUCACUGGCCCCUCGGACUCUGAUUUCUGCCCUUCAUGCAGUGGGAGAGCUUUCCUCUGGGGCUUGCCUUGAGGUCUGCAGGAGCAAGGCCACUUCCUCUCUGAAUCCUAGACACAGGCUUUGGGUCAGUACUCCCACCCACGUGGAGCCCCCUUCUGCCCCUCUGCUCUGGGGGAUCUUGUCUGAAUCCAUCCCUUCUUUGCCUGCCUUAUGCCUUCUAGCUACUAUUCCUCUGCCCUUCCUUUCUUGAUCAGCACAAUUCUGCUGCUUUAAGUCCUUUUUUCCAUUAACCAUUGACUGCCCUUUGCUCUGUCAAACAUAGUUUUGGAGGCUGUGUAGUGUAGUGAAAGAACAGGGAAUUUGAGGUUGGACCUGGGUUUAACUCUCUCCUUGAUUGCUGACAAGUUACUUAACCUCUACUCAUUUGUAAACUAGGAAUAAUCUGACCUGGAUGAGACUGCUGUGAAGAUGAAAAGAGGUAAAGGAGGGGUGAUGGUGUGGUAGUGGUGGCCUGGUGAGAAUGACGGUGGUGGAGUGAUGGUGAUAAUGAGAAUGAUGAUAAUGGUAAUGGCGGUGUUGCGGUGAGGGUGUUGAUGUGGUGGUAGUGCUGAUUUUCGUGGCAGGUGAUGGCUAUAGUGAUAGGGGUGGUGGUGAUGAUGGUGGUGGUAGUUGUAAUGGUGACUGUGAUGGUGGUGUUGAUGAUACUGGUGAUAGCAGUAAUGGUAGUGAUGAUGGUAAUGAUGGUGUUAAUGAUGGUGGUUUGAUGGUGGUGAACAUGACAGUGGAGGUGGUUGUAGUAAUGAUGAUAAUGAUUUGGUGGUGGUGGUAGUUGUGGUGGUGGUGGUGAUGGUGGCAGUGGUUUAGUGGUAAAAGUUCAGUCAAGAAAGAAGAAAGCUGGAGGAACCAACAGUAUUCUGAUCAGAGGAACCACAUGGGAAGCAUUGACAGAGGGUCUUUGCAUUUGCUAAGGCCAUGGGAGUAGCUGGUUGUAUCAGUUAGCAUUUGAUCAGGAAAUCAGAGCUACUCUGUAUGACACGGAAUAAGGGAUUAAUCAUAGGGAUUAAACUUACCCAUUAUGAAAACUAGUAAAAAAGUCUAGGCAAGGCUGUUGCCUCUGUAUCUGGUGUUGGGCUUGACGUUUCUUUGGGUCAGCAGGGCUUACAGAUGGGACAGAAAGUGGAUGGAAAGGGGAGAGCAAGAACAAACUGGACCAUGUCUCUGACUCUCACCACCUGCAGUGGUAACACAGUGACCUGCAGGAAAAGCCAAUGCCUCUCAUCUCAGGCCUGGACAUGCACCUGGGUCAGGACUCUGGGCUGGAGGAGACCCAGGGAGCCGGAGGUACUGGAGCCCUGCUCCAUCAAGGUGAGGCAGCAGGUCUGAGAUAUAUGUGAGCUGCUGCUGCGCCGGGUCCCUAAUUAAACCUCCUGAGUGGAAUGGCUACUGCUUCCCUUCUGCCUUCCAAUCUUCUCACAGAUUUCUCUUGUUGCCAGCUUUAAUCUGGAACCAUAGAGGAAGGAACUUUGGGAAAUGUGGUUCCUGCUUAGUUCUGGUGGCACAGCACAAGUCACUGCCGAGGGGUCCCCAUGUGGAUUGGAUGGGUUAAAAGCUUCAGCACCUGUAGUGGCCUGUGCAGUCUACUUGCUCUGACAUUUCAAGCCUGGAGAGGCAAGGGGGACAAGAGCUGAGCUGAGGGCCAUGCCAGGGAACUGGACAAGGAAGGCCUUGGCACUCUCAAGUCAGGGAAUAGCCUCGCCAUUUCAUCUCAUCCCCAGAUGCUGGAGUGCGUUGGUCUCCCUUCUAACCUCUAACCACUGAAAGGGACCCUCUGUACAACCAAUCCUUGACUUUGGAAUCAUGGGCUGAGUAAGGCUGAAACAUUUAGCCGUCUUUGGGACCCCAGUAUUUCCCUAGUCUCACUCUAGUGUCUCUUGAAGUGGCUGUCUUUCAAGGUGUUGACCCUACUCCCUGUUUCUAACAUCUGCCUGCUACAUAAUCCAGCUGGACUUCUCAGGUAUCCCUGGUGGCUGAACUCCUUAGACCAGGGAGCUCCCCUAGUGCCUCUAGUGCUGACAAAGUGCCACUUUGCAACAGUUUCUGCCCUUUUCCCGGUUCUCUGGCUUCUAAAGCCUUCAUUUAUCCACAGAUAGAAAUACAAUCAAUCCCAUCCUUACUCUUUCUUUUGACAAUUUUCUUCAUCAGAUAUACACUUAGAAUUUAACUCAACUGUGUUCUCUCCUAUUUUGUCGGUCACUGCUGUAACUUACAUGGAAUCAUGGUUGGGUGGCAGGGACUGAAGUAGUUAGUUCUCACUUAUUUACUGUGAAAUGAAUAGUUUGAGAUUCGGUCAGUAGUCAGAAUGGUAUUCUUCACUUCCUCCUUUUCUUUAUUUACUAUGCUACCUGGUUUGUGAACAUUUUCUCCAGCUGCAAGCAAUUUACACAAACUGUAAACUCUUUAUCCAUUAUAAUCCCUGUAACUAUGCCUAGAGACUGGAAAAUGACCAGUUGUCAUUACAUUCGGAAAAGCAUAGAAAGGAUCUCCUUACUUGUGGCCCUACACCUGGUACUUUUCAGAUAGUAGAUGAGUUAUUAGGAUGAUUUGCACCUCAGUUUUCUUAUCUGUAAAAUGGGAGGGUUGCCUUGCAUUUCAUGCUGUGUUCUUUGAUGCCCUGGGGGAUUGCCGGAUUGCCAGAGGACUCAUUGGGAAUUUGGGGAUGGGGAAGAGCAUGUGUCUAGAGGGCCUUCAUCCCUCAUUCAACUAGCAAAAAGCCACUUAUUCUGUGUUAUAUAUUUGGUUUCUAUGAGAGAUUGGAUUAUUGGUCAGCAAUAAAAAUCACUCCCUUCCUUCUUCCUCUUGGAGCAGACCGUAACUCCCCUGUUCUACUGACUUUGGGCUUGGCUAUAUGACUAACUUUGGCCAAUGAAAUGUGGGAGGAUGUGAUGUGAAUAGAGGCUUUAAAUGUACUUGCAUGGUUUGGCUUACCUCUUGUACUCUUCUGUUUGCUGUGAGAAUAUGCUGCAGGGAGCCACUGGUCCAAGGAGAAGAAGAGGGGUGUAGAACAGACCUAAACCCAACCUGUAGCCUGAAACAGAGCCGAGUCCAGCCUAGAUCCACUUAUAGUCAACCUGUUGAUCUGUUAGCACAAAAACACAUGCUGCCAUAAGCUGUUGUGUUUUGUUACACAGCUAUAGCUGUCUAAUUCAGCUUACAAAUAAGUUUUGUCCAUAAUCAUAUUUUUUGGUUUAAAAAAGUUUGAAAACCACUGGGUUUGCUGAGUUUUCAGCUUUCCCAUCCACUUCUACUGUCCUGUUUCUUUCUCUUUGUGUAUUUAGGAAAGAGAGGGAGAAAGAAAGGGUUUUGGAAACAACACAGUCUGGUAGAAAGAAAGAAAGGAUAAUUUUUUUCUUUUGAGGAAAGAGGGACUUAGGGAGCUGGGAGGAGAGAUAGGCACAUUCAUAGUUAAAGUAUGUUUUGUUUCUUUUUUGAACCCUCAAGUAAACAUUUCUCCACUGACAUUGUUUUGCACUGUUACAUUAUUUUGUUCACUUUAGUGUUCCAUUUGUACAACCUCUGAAAUUCCAGGAAGAAGGUGAAAGAAUAACAUUGCACAUAGCCCUGGGUUGUGCUGUGUUUACUUCAUGAUGGACCGUUCACUUGGGCUUAACCUUAAACUGACCUUUCUGAUUCCAGACGAGACAGCAAAGCUUUGCUCACAGAUUCAAAAUCAGGGAACAGAAACAGCUGACUUCCCUGGCCAAGGAUGUUUUCCAUUCUCAUUAUUUUUGUCCGUGGUCACAAAUGAGAUGCUAGGGAAGUAAUUUUUAGGAAUUCCUGGAGUACUUUACUUCUGAUGUGCAUGCACAGAUACCCUGGGGUCUUAUGCAAUUGGUACCCCACCCCAAAGUCUGGAUAUAUUCGUUGUAGGAUGAAGAGAGGGAGGAAGGAAGGAGGACUGAGGAAGGUCUUAGGCUAUUUUCAAGCUCUUUUUUGCUCCGCACUUUGCAACAUGGUUUUAUUUUAUUCUUAUAAGUUUUGAGAUCAUCUCAAAUAUAAAUACAAAACCAUUGAUCAAAGGCCAAGAAUAAGAAAUAUUUAGAUGCCCUCUAUUGCAGUGAAAAAGCAAAUGGUUGCUAUAUCAUGCGUAAAGGUAAUCUCUUCAAGGAUUAGCACUUUAGGUCAGAUCAUGGAAGCCUGGUUUUGUUUCUCAGAAAGAGUGUCUUUCUGGGGCUUGGGAGGCCAACACGAGGCAGGCUGAGCUUUGUCUAUGGCAGGAGCUGAGUUUGAGUCUAUCUCUGCCAUUAGCCUGUGCUCAGGUUGUGUCCCUACACUGAUGGCCAUCAGAAUUUGGGUAUCAAGUGAUUCGCUUGCUUGUACUAGAUUGAGCUCCUUUGAGGACAACAGGAGCCAUUAAUAUUUUAGAGCCAGA